rnacentral:tRNA from 1 species
GUGCCCGUAGCUCAGCUGGAUAGAGCAUCUGCCUUCUAAGCAGACGGUCGGACGUUCGAAUCGUCUCGGGCACGCCA